CUACAGUAGCUUAAAUAACAAAGCAUUGGUCUUGUAAACCAAAGAAUGAAGACCCACAACCUUCCUGAAGUAC
rnacentral:tRNA from 1 species